AGGUGAGAGGGAGGUCGGCCUCCCUCAGCCUUGCUUCGGCUUCACGGAACCAAGGCUUCAAGCGACGACGUGGACUCCUGGUGGGCCUCUUCUCCAUGCAUGGAACUAGAGACCCCUAAAGCCGGAUAAAUCACAGGUUGGACCCAGAUGGAUACCUAACCGAAAUUAACUCAAGAAGAACUGGACAACCUGAAUAGCCCCCUCCCCUGCCACCGCAUCUCUUUUUAGGGCUGAACCUGCGUAUAGAAUUUCUUGGCUUAAGGGUCGAAUUGGAUCUGCAGCUGCUGGCCUAUAUCACAGCCACAGCAACACCAGAUCCGAGCUGCAUCUGUGACCUAUGCCAUAGCCUGCGGCAGGCAACCCAGGAUCCUUGACCCACUGAGCAAGGCCAGGAAGCGAACCCACGUCCUCAUGAAGACUAGUCAGAGAAGUCAGCUUCUUGGCAGAGCCUAAGUUUCAAUUUUCUUACACGCUGAUGGUGGCCUUUGACCUCUGGCCCAGUUUAACCGUUCCAGGAGAGUAUAAAUGUCAGCUGCUCUAGUCUUGGCUGCAUUACCACCGACCAGUCCUCAGCCGGCAACAUGAAGCUGGGUGGCCUCUGCCUCCUGCUCCUCCUCGCCGUCCUUCUCACCCUCAAUGCAGAGCUCCAGGCAGUUGAUGUAGGUAUCUGUGUGACGGAGUGCAAGGUAGACCAGGACUGUGGGGCAGGAAGACGAUGCACCAGCAAUGGAUGUGGCCGGGUCUGCUCCCCAAUCCAGCAAAGAGAGGCCUGCGAGCACCAGUGCAGAGAAGACAGGGACUGUGGGAGUGGACAUCAGUGCGUGAGGAAGGGCUGUGGGCACGUCUGCGCCCCCGUCCAUCAAGUCGAUGUAGGUAUCUGUGUGACGGAGUGCCGUGUAGACCAGGACUGUGGGGAAGGAAGACUAUGCAUCAGUAAUGGGUGUGGCCGUGUCUGCUUCCCAGUCCGGCGAAGAGAGGCCUGCGAGCACCAGUGCAGAGAAGACAGGGACUGUGGGAGUGGACAUCAGUGCGUGAGGAAGGGCUGUGGGCACGUCUGCGCCCCCGUCCAUCAAGUCGAGGGCUGCGAGCACCAGUGCAGAGAAGACAGGGACUGUGGGAGUGGACAUCAGUGCGUGAGGAAGGGCUGUGGGCACGUCUGCGCCCCCGUCCAUCAAGUCGGUAUCUGUGUGACGGAGUGCAACGUAGACCAGGACUGUGGGGAAGGAAGACAAUGCACCAGCAAUGGGUGUGGCCGUGUCUGCUCCCCAGUCCAGCAAGAAGAUGUAGGUAUCUGUGUGACGGAGUGCAAGGUAGACCAGGACUGUGGGGAAGGAAGACGAUGCACCAGCAAUGGAUGUGGCCGUGUCUGCUCCCCAGUCCAGCAAAAAGAGGCCUGCGAGCACCAGUGCAGAGAAGACAGGGACUGUGGGAGUGGACAUCAGUGCGUGAGGAAGGGCUGUGGGCACGUCUGUGCCCCCGUCCAUCAAGUCGAUGUAGGUAUCUGUGUGACGGAGUGCAAGGUAGACCAGGACUGUGGGGCAGGAAGACGAUGCACCAGCAAUGGAUGUGGCCGUGUCUGCUCCCCAGCCCAGCAAAGAGAGGCCUGCGAGCACCAAUGCAGAGAAGACAAGGACUGUGGGAGUGGACAUCAGUGCGUGAGGAAGGGCUGUGGGCACGUCUGCUCCCCCAUCCCUCAAGUAGGUAUCUGUGUGACGGAGUGCAAUGUAGACCAGGACUGUGGGGCAGGAAGACGAUGCACCAGCAAUGGAUGUGGCCGUGUCUGCUCCCCACCCCAGGGAGGAGGACUCUGUGUGGACCGCUGCCGAGGAAACUGGGACUGUGGGGCCGGAGAAGAAUGUAUCAGGAAGGGAUGUGGACGGGUCUGCUCUCCAGCCCAGGAGCCAGUGGUAGGUAUCUGUGUGGAUCAGUGCCAAAGACACUGGGAAUGUGGUCCACGGAUGCGGUGUGUCUCCACUGGAUGUGGCCACAUCUGCUCACCAGCCCAAGACCAAGUUGAACAGAGACCCGGAAAAUGUCCAGUGUUGCCAAAAGGAACGAUUGGACUUUGUGCUGAAUUUUGCUUCGGGGAUGACUCCUGUCCCAGCGGACAGAAGUGCUGCAGCAAUGGUUGUGGACACUCUUGCCAGACUGCUGUUCCAGACGAGAAAACCUUCCCUAGCCGUUUGGAUGACUGAUGAACCUUGGCCUCCUUCCAUAAUUGUUCCCACAUGUCACCUUUAUUUGAAGAGCUGGGCUUUUCCAGGAACUCCACCUUUGCCAGGAACCCCAGGAUCAUGGGGUGAGGUUCUAGAAUAACUUGGCUUAAGGGUUGAAUUCUGGCAAUUGUUCAAGGAAUAGUGCUUGCAAAGGAUCCUUCUUCUGAAUAAAACGACUUCUCUGGCAUUA
rnacentral:lncRNA from 1 species